UACGUAGGGGACUAGCGUUGUUCGGAAUUACUGGGCGUAAAGCGCACGUAGGCGGAUUUGUAAGUCAGGUGUGAAAUCCCGGGGCUCAACCUCGGAACUGCCUUUGAUACUGCAAAUCUCGAGUCCGGAAGAGGUGAGUGGAAUUCCUAGUGUAGAGGUGAAAUUCGUAGAUAUUAGGAAGAACACCAGUGGCGAAGGCGGCUCACUGGGCCGGUACUGACGCUGAGGUGCGAAAGCGUGGGGAGCAAACAGG
rnacentral:rRNA from 1 species